UACGGGGGGGGCAAGCGUUGUUCGGAAUUACUGGGCGUAAAGGGCUCGUAGGUGGCCAACUAAGUCAGACGUGAAAUCCCUCGGCUUAACCGGGGAACUGCGUCUGAUACUGGAUGGCUUGAGUUCGGGAGAGGGAUGCGGAAUUCCAGGUGUAGCGGUGAAAUGCGUAGAUAUCUGGAGGAACACCGGUGGCGAAGGCGGCUACCUGGACAGAGUCUGACGCUGAGGCACGAAAGCUAGGGGAGCAAACAGG
rnacentral:rRNA from 1 species